AUUCGAAUAAAGUUGAAGUACAACGCCCACCGCCUCAUCAUAACGAAUGAACGAUUUGCUAUAUGUCAAGAUUAAAAAACAAACAUACGCCUCCACUAUCGCUUCUGCGGAAUGCGAUAUUUACAUAGGCCAAUGAUAUCAACACACAGGCACAGCGAUCGUGAUGUAUUUAUAUGUAUUUUUUAU